GCCCGAUUAGCUCAGCGGUAGAGCGCCUGCCUUACAAGCAGGAUGUCGCUGGUUCGAACCCGGCAUCGGGCA
rnacentral:tRNA from 2 species